UACGUAGGGGGCGAGCGUUUGUCCGGAAUCAUUGGGCGUAAAGAGCGUGUAGGCGGCUUGGCAAGUCUGACGUGAAAGCCCGCGGCUCAACCGCGGAUUGUCGUUGGAAACUGCCUCGCUAGAGUCCGGAAGAGGAGAGCGGAAUUCCUGGUGUAAGCGGUGGAAUGCGCAGAUAUCAGGAAGAACACCCGUGGCGAAGGCGGCUCUCUGGGACGGUACUGACGCUGAGACGCGAAAGCGUGGGGAGCGAACAGG
rnacentral:rRNA from 1 species